ACUUGUUGCCUCGGCGGAUCACCCGCUCCCGGUAAAACGGGACGGCCCGCCAGAGGACCCCUAAACUCUGUUUCUAUAUGUAACUUCUGAGUAAAACCAUAAAUAAAUCAAAACUUUCAACAACGGAUCUCUUGGUUCUGGCAUCGAUGAAGAACGCAGCAAAAUGCGAUAAGUAAUGUGAAUUGCAGAAUUCAGUGAAUCAUCGAAUCUUUGAACGCACAUUGCGCCCGCCAGUAUUCUGGCGGGCAUGCCUGUUCGAGCGUCAUUUCAACCCUCAAGCACAGCUUGGUGUUGGGACUCGCGUUAAUUCGCGUUCCUCAAAUUGAUUGGCGGUCACGUCGAGCUUCCAUAGCGUAGUAGUAAAACCCUCGUUACUGGUAAUCGUCGCGGCCACGCCGUUAAACCCCAACUUCUGAAUGUUGACCUCGGAUCAGGUAGGAAUACCCGCUGAACUUAAGCAUAUCA
rnacentral:rRNA from 1 species